UGUGAACUCUAUUUGCAAUUGUGUUUAAAUUAUCAGCUUUAGACAAGGCACAUCCAGUAAAUGUCAUAGGGCACCAGUUUAUUUAUGUACAGGUAUGAAUGGUAUUGUGCCAUAUGAGUUUUAAAACUUGUCAUUCAGUCUCAUACAACCUAUUUUCCCAUGGUGCUUAGUUUCCAUGAGAAUGGUGCGAGAUAAAAAAUGCCAGUCAUACCUCCUGAAACACAUUAUUGUGACCACAUGAAUAGACCAGUUUUAUGGUUUAGUGAAGCUAGCUAAUCAGUCAGUCCGUUUUUUAUGGUGCCUUGAGUUUCAUUAUAGUGUUUGGAAGUACAGCUAUUUCUAUGCAGGAGGAUACAUUUAAAUGUGUUUGUUAGAGAUUAUAUUUUUUAUAUUUAUAAUGCAUAUAUUUAAUAAUUUCCAAGCACAAUAAACAUUUAUGGUUUGGAAGAUGGUCUUUUAAACUUGCGGGAGUAUGUAAGAGGUUAUGCUCUAGUAGUGAAUAAAAAGGAAACAUAAUUGUACACCUCUUGUAUUAAAUUAAUGUCUGAAGAGCAACCUCAAUAAACAUGUUUGGAUAAUUUCAAAA